rnacentral:rRNA from 1 species
UGGGCUUGACAUCACCGCGAACCUGGCCGAAAGGCUGGGGUGCCCCUGAUGGGGAGCGCGGUGACAGGUGCUGCAUGGUUGUCGUCAGCUCGUGUCGUGAGAUGUUGGAUUAAGUCCCGCAACGAGCGCAACCCCCGCCCUGUGUUGCCAGCGGUACGGCCGGGCACUCACAGGGGACUGCCGGUGACAAACCGGAGGAAGGUGGGGAUGACGUCAAAUCAUCAUGGCCCUUAUGCCCAGGGCUACACACGUGCUACAAUGGCCGGUACAACGGGUUGCGAACCCGCGAGGGGGAGCCAAUCCCUAAAAGCCGGUCCCAGUUCGGAUCGCAGGCUGCAACUCGCCUGCGUGAAGCCGGAAUCGCUAGUAAUCGCGGAUCAGAAUGCCGCGGUGAAUACGUUCCCGGGCCUUGUACACACCG